rnacentral:ncRNA from 1 species
UCCUGAAAAAGGCAAACCUGUCGAAAGGCAGGGACGCAAAACCCGCAUAACCGGA